UAGAAUGCCAUUCUCGUGAGACCGCAGAAGGGUGCACAGUCACACACACGCACGCAGAGAACGGCAAGCGCAGUUUUUACGGCGUUUUACUUUCGUCUCUUCUUUUUGUUUUUUCGAUGUUUAUUGGUGGCCUCCUGGAAGUCACCACCACGACCACUGCGUGCGCAUGCGUACUUGCACAGAGACGGCGACACCCUCUCUUUCCCGCUCCCUGCUCAGUGGCAACCCCCUCCCUCCCUCCCUCCCCCCCUGGCAUUUCAGCAACGACACGGCAAGCAUGGGCAGUGCACCAUCGGUGCAGGAGCACCUGCAGAAGUGGGAGACCGCGCUCGGGGAGCUCGAGCAGCUCUGCUCGGUCAAUCGACGCCUCAUGGACCAGGACCGCAUCUACGGCAGUGGGGCCGCCCUGAACGACAUUCACAGGGCCACGGAUGACGAAGCCACCUCCGACCGAGGAGGAGCUCGGCGGCCAUCAUCACUCGUUUCCUUCAGCCCCACCGCAACGGCAGUCACACCAGAGGCGGGUAUGGGUGUCAGCGCGGGCAGUUUUCAUAGACUAAACCGCAGCGGCACCUCGACGGCCGUCACAGCACCACUACCGGAGAGCCGCACCGGCUUUGGAUUCACGGCUUACAGCGGCGCGCCUGGAACCAGCACGGUGACGACUUUGAACUUCGUUCAGGGCGGUGCCACCGCCCUGCCUGGCAACGCGGCAAACGACGUGACAAACAGGAGUGCCGGCUCGGCCUCGGUGGGUCAGCAGCAGUCCAAGCACACCCGUCAGCAAGUCCUCGAGAUCCGAAAAGCGCGCAUGAGUCUCUUUCGCAGCUACGAAGCCGAAAACCCGGAUGCGCUCACUGAUCUCAUGCAAUGCAGCCACUUCGGCGCUGCCGCCGUGGCUCUCUCCUACCUGCUCGGCGGUGACGCGAACUGCAAGGAUCGCCGGCGUCGCGUCACCCUCGAAGACAUCUUCUUCGCCACACAGUCCCCGCUGCACAUGCUGCACUCCGGAUCGCCACAUCUGCCGAUCAUGACGGGCAUCAUCCGCGAGUUCCUCGACGUCGAUAACCGGUUCAAGGGCGAUUACAGCCUAGAAGCGGUGCACCUUGACGUGUCGCCGACGAUGGGGCAGGUGGAGCUCGGCCCGAACGAGGUGGGUGACCGGCAGACUCGCAUGCAGCUGCCGGAAUUCCAGCGCCUUAUCACGCAGGACUGCGAGGAAGAGACGCAGGCGAUUCGCAUUGUCAACUACGAUCCGUAUGUGCUGGAGCAAGCGAUGCUUGUGGACGCCUUCGAAGACGAAGAUGAACUGAACUCCCCGCUUGCAACCUCCGUGCUAGGGCCAAAUCCGCAUCAUAUGGAGCGGCAGUACUCCCCACGAAACGAGGGUGCGUAUGCGGCAGUAGUCGACGUUCGCAAUGCCGUGCAGCUUAUGGUAACUAUCGCUGAGGGCGUAGUGAACGACUCGCUGCACGUGAAGCUGAAGGAAGUACCCGUGGCGUCCCUCUUCAAGGCAAUGAUGACGGCCAAGGAAGGCCAUCGCGCGCGCGGCUUCAUUCGCGUGUUUAAGAAGGAGCUCAACCCGGAAUUCACCACGGACGAGAUCAAGACGUUCUGGACGCCGGAGCUGCGCAGCGGCAAGGUGCUUGGCACGACGCAGCUGGGCACGAACGCCGUGGCCAUCUCUCACCACAUCAGCCCCCACAUCGUCGGCGUGGCGUGGGCGAUGCAUCUGCUGGCCGGCGUUCGCCCUGGCACGCACGGGUACGGCAACGGCCUGCCGGUCUCUGACAUUAUCCGCACCAUGAAGCUGCCAGCCGAGGUGUUCGUGGAUGGCGUACUACCUCUAGAGCAGGUGUACGAGUACGCCGCCGGCUACGUGCAGCGGUCAAAGCGCGACGUGGACGUGCACCUCUACCCGGUGCUCACGAAGAUCUUCCGCGAGGACGCGGUGCCGACGAUUUCGGUGUUCGACCUCGAGUCCAUCCUCAUCAACGUGAAGGACGCCAACGCGGACCCGGAGUGCCCGGAGCAUGUGAUGGUGAUAAUGUACAACGCAUGCGUGGCGCACAAUGUGCUCUACAUUGUGGAAGAGCCGCAGUGGUGUGUGCUGGCCGGCUACGAUCAGGAAAUGCAAACAGCCGUGCUGAUCGAUGCCCACCCGAAGACAUUUUCGCACACGUGGUCGUGCCCGCUGGACCGUCUUCACAAGGCCAUGACCGGCAACGGGUACCUGAUCUUCUCAAAGCGUAGCAAGAACCCGGUGUCGCGGCGCGUUGGUGCCCCAGCCACGAUGGCCCCCACAGUAGAGAGUCGACUUGAGCUGGUGGAGCGCCAGCACGAGCUGAGCAGCUCAUGGGAAGGCAAGACCGCAUUUGCCGUGCCGAAGGCGUUCACUUUUCCCUCGCUGCCUGUCAUGCCGACGAUGGUGGCCAUGACAUGCACCCGGCUCGGCGUUGCGACCACGUUUGACGACGUGGUGCAACGUCUUCCGUUCGAAAUCUCCGCCCUGGUCAUUCGCAACCUGACACUGGAGAUCAUGCACGUGUGCCUGACACAGUACUUGCGUGUGGUGGGGUUGCAGGACGAGGUCCAAGUGAAGGCGUAUCAUGGGGAAAGCAACGCGGACGGGUUCCUCACACUGCAGCUGCCGCAGCUCGAGGAACUCAUCCAGACCUCACUCGACGGAAACCAUGUCCUGCUGCUGCACUUCGAUGCCAGCCGCCUGCUCGUAAACGGGGCCUCGCACCCGUUCGGUGCCCUUGGUAUUGUCGUCGGCUACGACGCGGGGCUCGGAAGCGUGCGCGUGGCGGACGCGAACCCCAACAGCUUCCUGCGCGAGUGGUCGGCGCCGCUGCUAGAGGUGUUCGAGUCCGUGCUGGACAGCGACGUCACACGGAAGCACCGCACCCGCGGCGUGCUGCUCGUCUCGCGUGCUGCCGUAGCCGAGGGUGCGGCAGGUCCGGUGUUUGCGCCGCCGUGCAGCCGUCCUUUCCGCCUCGAGCUACUGCCUGUUCUGAACGUCUUCCUUGUUAGCCCCAGUCCCCACUUCCAAGGGAUGUCCUUCGCCUUCUCGCAACUGGGCUACUACUACAGCCCGGAGGAGAUCUUCUACGAGGCGUAUCUGAAGACGAUGGAUGAUCAGCGGCGGCGCGGUAGCCAGGCCUUUGCGUGGCGUGAUGUAGAGGUGUCGCUGUCGAUCAUCAACAAAAAGAUCGACGCCUCUUUCAUGGCGGAAGGGUGCCGGAAGUUUCUCGAGUCGCGCAAUGGACAUCAGAGCGGGACCCAAGAGACUAUCUCGGUGCAGGUGCUGGAGGACAUCGACGUGGACGAGGAGCUGGACGAGCUUCUGGAGAAGUCUACGCGGUCCUCGGACACGGUCCUUCUGCUGAACUACGACGUUCUGCGUACGCAUCAGCUGUCGAACCUCGGCCGCAGUGUGGCUACCGUGAAGAGCUACAACAAGGAGAAGCAGCUGGUCGAGCUGUGGGACGCCGAGUACGCCGUCUUCGGUCUCUCCUUUGUAGUCACGAAGCAGCAGCUCAUCGAAAUGGGCGAUCUGGAGAACGUCGGCUCCAGCCCGUACGGCUUUGUCCAGUUCAAGCGUGUUGCAGCCGGCGCAGCCCCCAAGAAGCUGGGCCUUAUGUCUGCGCCAUCAACGCUGGAGGAGGAAGCCGAACUCGAGGCGGCCGCCGCCGCGGCAGGAGUAAAGUGACACCGUGGCGAAACCGAGCAGCGCUGGCUGGCCGUCGCUUGCGGUCGAGGAUGUGAAUGUGGGUCUCCGUUCACUUCCCACCACCACCACCACUCCUCCUUGACACUAAGCUGGAUAGAACAGUUUCUCUCGGUGCUGGGGACUCUCGGUAUUCCUUUGUUCAGCUGAAGCCGUGACUCUCCAGCAGGUCGCCAGUAUUCGCACAAGCGCGGUGAUGCAUAUGCAGGGCACAUCAUCACUCGGUCGUCAGCCCUUCCUCGCUCUCUCUUGUGUACCAUAGAGGGAAGUGUCUCCUCGUCAUGCGUAUCAUGCAGCAGCAGCAGCAGCAGCAGCAGCAGCGACGGCGCCGCGAAACGCCGCCGCCGUGUUCACGCCCUCUUUGCGCUGUGGCCGUUGUUUUUGUUGGCUUGUGUCUUCGUCUUACGUCACCCUCGGCCCCUCCGCUGCUUCCUUGUGUGGGUUUGGGUGCGUGAGACUACGCGCACUUUGCGUCCCCUCUGGCGUCGGGGAGGGGUAGCGGGGAGAGGGGAGAGGGGAACACGGAGGCAAAGGAGGGAAAACAAAAAAAGUGGAGGGGGAGGGCAAAGUUGUCGGCGUCUGUCACAGCCAGCCAAAAGGGAAAAAAGAGAGGUGACGUUGUUAUACGAGUGUCAAGCAGCAAACCAGGAGGAUGGUCUGUGCAUCAUCCUCCCGCAUCACGCAGCAGCACGUCUGCUGUUCCCCCUUUCUGUUUUUCUUUUCGUUCUCCUUCCUUUUUUGCGCCCUGUGUUGCGUGCUUCUCGGACUGCUAUCCGGCUAUCCUUCCUCUGUGCACCGAGUCGUUGCGCGUUUCUUUUCCCUUGUGUAUGUGUGUGCCAUUUUCUUUUCUUGUUGCUGCAUUUGUUCUCUUGUUGUUCUCCCCCUCCCACACACGCACACUGUCCCUUUCUUUUUUUCUGCGCAUGUGUGUGUGUGUGUGUGUGCCUUCCAACGUUUCGAGGCCCCCGUGAACCCACCAUGCAUCCUUCCCUCUCCCUCUCCCUCCUUACUCUCCUUCUCACUCUACAGCUCAUAUGUGUAAAGUGACACGGACUCGACCGCAACAGAGAACACACACACACGCACUCAAAAAGAAGCGGCCCCAGGUGCAGGAGAGAGCCAGUCAUCCUCCCCCACCCUCCCCUCUCGCGCCCUUUUCACUCCGAAGCAGGGCCGCAUGCUCAUGUCCGUUUCUCCUCUCACAAUGCGCCCAUCCCUCUCGCUCUCUAUCGCAAACUUACCGCUCUAUCAUCUCCACUACUCCCCAUCUCCCACCUCUCAAG
rnacentral:misc_RNA from 1 species